rnacentral:rRNA from 1 species
UACGGGGGGGGCAAGCGUUAAUCGGAUUUACUGGGCGUAAAGGGCGCGUAGGCGGCCACCGCAAGUCAGUUGUGAAAUCUCUGGGCUUAACCCAGAAAGGUCAACUGAUACUGCGGGGCUAGAGUGCAGAAGGGGCAACUGGAAUUCUCGGUGUAGCGGUGAAAUGCGUAGAUAUUAGGAAGAACACCAGUGGCGAAGGCGGCUCACUGGCCCGGUACUGACGCUGAGGCGCGAAAGCGUGGGGAGCAAACGGG